UACGUAGGGUCCGAGCGUUUGUCCGGAAUUGAUUGGGCGUAAAGGGCUCGUAGGCGGUUUGUCACGUCGGGAGUGAAAACUCAGGGCUCAACCCUGAGCGUGCUUCCGAUACGGGCAGACUAGAGGUAGCAGGGGAGAACGGAAUUCCUGGUGGUAGCGGGUGGAAUGCGCAGAUAUCAGGAGGAACACCGGUGGCGAAAGGCGGUUCUCUGGGCAUUACCUGACGCUGAGACGCGGAAAGCGUGGGGAGC
rnacentral:rRNA from 1 species